UGCGCCUCCUCUCCCCUCCCCUCCCAUGCGCCUCCUCUCCUCCUUCCCCGCCGCUGCCCGACCUCCUCCUUCCACCCCUCCGACCGGCUCCUCUCCGACGGCCAGGGGUAGGGGGGUAUAAAAAGCGGCCGCUACAGUGACGGAGACCUAGCCCCCGCCUCUCUCUCACACUCGAGCAACUCCUCGCCUCUUCCUCCCAUCCCCACCUCCUGCCCACUCUCCCGCCUCGGUCGCCGACCGAUUCCGGCCGCUCCGGUGAGCUCUGACGCCGCCCAACACACACAAGGCUGCUCCUCGACGAGCUCUACUAGCUUCACCGCAUCGAUCUACUUCUCCUUGCCUCCUGCGGUCACCCCCAUUGAUUUCCCCCACUAGGGUUUCAGUGGUGGAGGUAAACCUCGCCUCCAACGGCCGCCUGCUCGUUGCCCUGAUUUCUCGAUCCCCAUGGAUGCGUCUCUGCAGGAGAGAAGAUGCGGAGGGAGGAUAGGAGGAGGAAGGCGCACUGGGGCGGGGGGGUCUCGCGAGCGACGAUAGGGCUGGCCGACCGGAGUUGGAUCGAGAUCCCGGCCCGCAUCGCUUCCUCGUUGUCAGGCCGCAUGCUGCUCUGCCCUUCCUCCUCCCCUCCCAUCGUUCCCCUCCCUAACCCUAGGAGUGGGCGAGGAGGCCGAGCCGCUGCCCGCCGCUGGCCCUCAGCACCUCCUGUUCGACCAUGUCGAGGAAGCACAGGACCUUCAUCCUUGCGUCUGUGCGCCUCUGGGAAGAAGACUUGAGAUCUUCGGCCGUCUUCGACUAUGCUCGGAGAGGUGUCACGGUUGAGAGGAUACAGUGGGAUGGCUCCAUCUGCUAGACUGAUUGGUUCUGUUGUGCAGUCAUGCAUCUACAUGAUGGUCUGCCCAUUGGUUACACAUGUGAAAAGCGAGUGACGCAUAUCAAGUUGUUGGGACCUCAGGGCACGUUCAUCGGCUUGCCUCAAGUAUAUUGGGACCCGUUUGUGAUCUAUAUCAGGUGCACGAGCUCCGAUGUGGUUCCUCACCUAUUGGACGGCGUUCAAGCGCAACCCCGACGCGCACUGAGCACUGCCUCGGCUACAACCUCCCUCGGUGAGCUCCAUCUUGCUCCUGCUCCUCUGCUUCGGCUACUAUAUGGGACAUGGCCAUGGCUAUAUUGAUGUGGGGAUCGUCUGGUUGAUGCUCUAUGCCCUACUCAUGCAUCGGUUCCUACUUGAGCUCUGUAGUUGUGGAUCCAUGCCAUUUUAGGGUUUGCAGGCUGCUGUUCAUGUUUAGUUGCUAUCGUAUGAGCUCAUGUGAUGCUCUGGUUUACAUGUGGAUGCCCUGGUCCUAUAGCUAUGCUCCUGGAUUUGCUAGAUUGAUCAGUGGUGUUCGUGCUAGGGUGAUGAUGAUUAAUCGUGGCUGAAAUAAGUGUGCCUUUGAGCAAUCAUGGCACCUGUGCGUAUCAGGUUGGGUCCUCCCUCUUGUCUCUAGAAUCCUUUUUGAUCAUGUGAAUCUUGUUGUUGUCCUUGGAUGGUCAUUCUUGUUGAGUGAUAACCAGGGCAGCUCCACUAUAUAAACAGAUUGAUCUGGUUUUAAUAGAUGACGAGGGUAGGUUAUAUGAUCGAAGAAAGGCAAAUCUGAGCCCACUAUACAAUGAACCUUGAACCCUUUAUAUUUGUUUUUAAAGGUGUUGCUUAUCCAGAAACAAGAACCAAAGCAGACCAAAGACACUCCCAGAGCUUAGGCACUCUCGGUCGUCCGAUCUAUUUCUUCAUGCGAUUCAAGCCGUCGGAUCUCGGGUUUGGCUCACGUGAGACGUCACAUAUUUACCAGAUCGUUGUGAGCCGUUAGAUAAAAUUCCAAUUGCAACAAAAUGUAAAUACCAUGCCCCCAUCAGGGCAUCUGGGUCAUUUCGUAUACCGGCUAUAAAAUGACCGCGACUUCCUAUGAUGAAAACCUAGCGGCCGCCUCCUCUCUCACUCGCUCCUGCAGCUGCCUCCCUCCCUCCCUCCCAUGCAGGUAGCUCCCACCAACCAUGGCAACGGCGGGCAGCGGCCAUGGAGGAGGGUGGCAGAUCAUCGGCGCCAGUGAUGGUGUCUGUGGCAGCUAUGCAGUGAACCCUGAACCACUUUUAUUUGUAUUUAAAGGUGUGUUGAUUAUUUAUGCUCAAGUGGUGUUCGUGCUAGGGCGAUGAUGAUUACCUUGGCUUGAAUUAGUGUGCCUUUGAGCAAUCGAGGCACCUGUGGGUAUCAAGUUGGAUCCUCCCUCUUGUCUCUAGAAUCCUUUUUGAUCCCGUGAUACUUGUUGUUGUCCUUGGAUGGUCAUUCUUGUUGAGUGAUAACCAGGGCAGCUCUAAUGUAUAAACAGAUUGAUCUGGUGAGAAGAGAUGAUGGGGGUAGGUUAUAUGAUCAAGGAAAGGCGAAUCUGAGCCCACUAUGCAAUAAAACUGCAGCCACCUCCCCUAGUGUGUAAGGCAAAAAUGAACUUUUCAUGUCUUGUUACUUUAAAAUUCCAAAAAGGUUCAUUCUUCCUUUGCUGGUUACUUAACCAUGAUUUUUGUUUUGCUUUGGUUCUGGUUGAGAUACUAAAGGUUGUUUAUAUAUGAAAAGAACAGACACUUGUAGUUUUGUAUGCCUCAACUGUUGCUUAGGAGCCAGUGUUGUAGUGAUUUGCCUAAUUAAAAAUAACUCUAAUCAAUAAUAGUGGUUCUUUCCUUCUAAUUUGAACUGAGAGAGGGCCACUGAUUCUUGAUCUAAGGUGACCCCAUUUUUCUAUGCCUCAUGCUCAUGCUGGUCUAUGUUCCAUUUUAAAAAUUCUUGCUUGCAUUUUGGGUUGGUUUUCUGCUCUAUGUUCCCUUUUAGCGUUUCUUUCCGUUGUUGUUGCACUCCCUUUUUGUAUACUACAUGAUCUUUUUGUAAAUCAUUCUGCAUGUGACAUAACUAAAUAAUAGAUUUCGAUGAGUAUUCACAUUGAGAUGAAAGGUUAUACCUGAUAUCAUCUAGCUCAAGUAGGAACUUUCUGCUCCAAUAUUUGCUAUGCAAUACUUGCCUUACCAUGUUUUUUUAACUAUUGUGCCCUAAAAUUUUAUGAAUGAAAUGAUUACCUCUUCCUGUUUGUAUGAGGUGGCAAAUCAUUUUGUUGCCUACUCUAUAACAUAAAUUCCAUCGUCCUCCUCGCCAUCGAGACAACUGGAAGUCUGUCGUUGUCCGUCAACAUGGAUCUCCGCUAGCACCUCCACAUGGUGCGCAUCCUGGAGCUCAUCAAUUGCACCUCCGCUAGCCUCUUCGAUUCUCCCUACGUAGCUCAACUCCACCGACCAGAUCGCCAUGGUCGCCAACCAGCCCCUUGAUCAGAACGCGAUGGCCACCAACGAGCUCCCUGAUCAGAUCACGAUGGCGGCCGAGGAGCUCCCCGUUCAGAUCGCGCUGGCGGCCGAGGAGCUCCCUGUUCCUAACCCGCCGCCUUCCUCCUGCUCCACCAACAGCUGUCUGCGGGGGCUUGCGCAGGAAGAUGACUAUGUAAUACUGAUUCCUCAUUCCCACAUCUUUGCCCUCAUGCUGCAAGCUCUCAAGUUGCCCCCUGCGACUUACCAUCACAAGACAUAUCUAGGCAAUGAGUCUCGUGUGACGGUUACUUUCAAUUCAUCGUUAAAGUUGAUCGAUGGUUUGCUUGUUCCAACCUCGAUAUCUGGUGUGAUCUCAAAGAACUGUGAUGAAGCAGAAGACAGUGCUGCUAUGGCAGCCAUUAGGUUUAUGGAGGAUGUAUGUGGCAAGGAAAUCAGGGAUUAUCACUACAUCCAUGUUAAAAGGCCGGAAAAUAAGGUGACACACCUGGUAAGGUUGCUGGUUGCAGCAAACAAGACAAUAAAGAAGGCACACAGAGGAUGGUACUAUGCUGUCAGAUACAUGAGCUCGUAUUCUAACCAGAUACAGAAUACGACAGCUGCUCGGCGCCUAAGAGGGUAGGACAGCACCAAAAGGGCUAUGAAAACGGCACUCGCAAGCAUGGGAAAGUUGGCAAAAGGCUACGUUAUAUUGGCAUGAAAUUGGAGCAGCGCCUAGAGACCACGGAUAGUAUCUGGUGAGCUUUGGUCAGCGCAUCGUACCCAGCAUGUUUACUAAUCAUUGCCUUUGCCCUUUUGAUGUUCUUUUGAACAAAAAAUACAUAUCCUAUGGAUUCCUGUUGUUAUCAUUAAGUGUACUUUCUGUUGUUAUC